rnacentral:piRNA from 1 species
AUCAAGCUCACUUGAUGGCCUGUGAAAAG